rnacentral:rRNA from 1 species
GCUCAAUGAUUUUUUAAAUUGCUGUAGUAUUUUGACUAUACAAAGGUAUUGAAAUAAGGUUUUAAUUGAAUGCUAAAAGAAUGGAAUAUCAAAGAAUAACUUUCUUAAAAUUAAAAAUUGAAAUUUUUUUAAUUUGUGUAAAAACAAUUAUAUAAAUUAAAGACAAGAAGACCCUAAGAAUUUUUAAAAUUUAAAUUAACACAUUUUUGUUUUAAUUAAAUUUUAACUGGGGCGGUUAAAAAAUAUUAAAAACUUUUUAAUUUUGAAAAUGACCCAUUAUUAAUGAAAAUAUGAUAAAAUACUCUAGGGAUGACAGCGUUAUAUUUUUUGAUAGAUCAUAUUGACAAAAAAGUUUGCGACCUCGAUGUUGGAUUAGGAUACUUUUUUAAUGAAGAUAUUAAAAUAAGAAGUUUGUUCAACUUUUAAAUUCCUACUUGAUCUGAGUUCAGACCGG